ACAUAUCAAUAAGCGGAGGAAAAGAAACCAACAGGGAUUGCCCUAGUAACGGCGAGUGAAGCGGCAACAGCUCAAAUUUGAAAUCUGGCUUCGGCCCGAGUUGUAAUUUGUAGAGGAAGCUUUUGGUGAGGCACCUUCUGAGUCCCCUGGAACGGGGCGCCAUAGAGGGUGAGAGCCCCGUAUAGUCGGAUGCCGAUCCAAUGUAAAGCUCCUUCGACGAGUCGAGUAGUUUGGGAAUGCUGCUCAAAAUGGGAGGUAAAUUUCUUCUAAAGCUAAAUACCGGCCAGAGACCGAUAGCGCACAAGUAGAGUGAUCGAAAGAUGAAAAGCACUUUGAAAAGAGGGUUAAAUAGCACGUGAAAUUGUUGAAAGGGAAGCGUUUGUGACCAGACUUGCGCCGUUCCGAUCAUCCGGUGUUCUCACCGGUGCACUCGGGGCGGCUCAGGCCAGCAUCGGUUUUGGCGGGGGGAUAAAGGUCCGGGGAACGUAGCUCCUCCGGGAGUGUUAUAGCCCCGGGCGUAAUGCCCUCGCCGGGACCGAGGUUCGCGCAUCUGCAAGGAUGCUGGCGUAAUGGUCAUCAACGACCCGUCUUGAAACACGGACCAAGGAGUCAAGGUUUUGCGCGAGUGUUUGGGUGUAAAACCCGCACGCGUAAUGAAAGUGAACGUAGGUGAGAGCUUCGGCGCAUCAUCGACCGAUCCUGAUGUAUUCGGAUGGAUUUGAGUAAGAGCGUUAAGCCUUGGACCCGAAAGAUGGUGAACUAUGCUUGGAUAGGGUGAAGCCAGAGGAAACUCUGGUGGAGGCUCGCAGCGGUUCUGACGUGCAAAUCGAUCGUCAAAUCUGAGCAUGGGGGCGAAAGACUAAUCGAACCAUCUAGUAGCUGGUUACCGCCGA
rnacentral:rRNA from 1 species